GAUGAACGCUGGCGGCGUGCUUAACACAUGCAAGUCGAACGGAAAGGCUCCUGCUUGCCGGGGUACUCGAGUGGCGAACGGGUGAGUAUCACGUGGGUGAUCUGCCCUGCACUUCGGGAUAAGCCUGGGAAACUGGGUCUAAUACCGGAUAGGACGAUGGGUUGGAUGCCGUUGUGGAGAGUUUUUUCGGUGUGGGAUGAGCUCGCGGCCUAUCAGCUUGUUGGUGGGGUAAUGGCCUACCAAGGCGUCGACGGGUAGCCGGCCUGAGAGGGUGUACGGCCACAUUGGGACUGAGAUACGGCCCAGACUCCUACGGGAGGCAGCAGUGGGGAAUAUUGCACAAUGGGCGCAAGCCUGAUGCAGCGACGCCGCGUGGGGGAUGACGGCCUUCGGGUUGUAAACUCCUUUCGCUAGGGACGAAGCGCAAGUGACGGUACCUGGAGAAGAAGCACCGGCUAACUACGUG
rnacentral:rRNA from 1 species